GAGGUUGUGGCUCAGCGGUAGAGCCCUUGCCUAGCAUGUAUGAGGCCCUGGGUUCAAUCCUCAGCACCACA
rnacentral:tRNA from 1 species